CAUUGAUGAGGGGUGCAGAAGUGGAGAGAAAACUUUAUUUUCAUUUUUUUGUCCAUCAGUUGGCAGUAUUGUAAAACAUUGUAAAUAUAAAGUCUGUGUUUUGUUUACCAUUAAAACAAGUACUUCCUCUCUUUGCCACACAAUGUGGUUGGCAUUGACGAGGGGUGUAGAAGUGGAGAGAAAAUAACUUUAUUUUCAUUCUUUUGUCCAUCAGAAACCUAACAAAGGCUGUUACAGGGACACACAGGUUUUAUUGCAGAUUUGAAUUCUCUCUCAGCAGACGCAUUAAUCCCUAACAUGGGCUACUGUUGUGGUCGUUACGCUACGGCAAGCUAAAAUGCAACACUUGAUAUCCUGUCAACCCCGCUUCCCAAGCACUGGAACACAUUUACAGCAAUGAAAGUUUUAUUUCCUCUUAUUGUGUCUGCUAUAUUAAUAAUAAUAUAAUAUGGGGUUCUAUUUCUAUUUUCUAUUUGGAGGUUUUUCGAAAUCGGCAUGUGGCUAAUGCUAGUAGCUGGCGCAUUUAUGGGAAUUCCCAUGUAGAUUAGUAUCAGGUGAAGGUAUUUGCUCAAUUUUGUUAGCUAAAGAUAAAAG